rnacentral:rRNA from 1 species
GAUACCCCGUGUAGUCCUAGCCGUAAACGAUACUCGCUAGGUGUCGGCCACGGUGCGACCGUUGUCGGUGCCGUAGGGAAGCCGUGAAGCGAGCCACCUGGGAAGUACGGCCGCAAGGCUGAAACUUAAAGGAAUUGGCGGGGGAGCACCACAACGGGUGGAGCUUGCGGUUUAAUUGGAUUCGACGCCGGAAAUCUUACCGGGACCGACAGCAACAUGAAGGCCAGGCUGAAGACUUUGCCGGAUUAGCUG